AAUGAACGCUGGCGGCAUGCCUAACACAUGCAAGUCGAACGAAGCCUUCGGGCUUAGUGGCGCACGGGUGCGUAACGCGUGGGAAUCUGCCCUUGGGUUCGGAAUAACAGUUGGAAACGACUGCUAAUACCGGAUGAUGACGUAAGUCCAAAGAUUUAUCGCCCAAGGAUGAGCCCGCGUAGGAUUAGCUAGUUGGUGCGGUAAGAGCGCACCAAGGCGACGAUCCUUAGCUGGUCUGAGAGGAUGAUCAGCCACACUGGGACUGAGACACGGCCCAGACUCCUACGGGAGGCAGCAGUGGGGAAUAUUGGACAAUGGGCGAAAGCCUGAUCCAGCAAUGCCGCGUGAGUGAUGAAGGCCUUAGGGUUGUAAAGCUCUUUUACCCGGGAUGAUAAUGACAGUACCGGGA
rnacentral:rRNA from 1 species